GCCUCCUCUCCCUGCACCUCACCCGCUCCCCCCCAUCCCCGCCCGAGGCCCAGCCCUCCACGGGGCAGCAGUGCGUUAACGGUUUCACAUCAGGCUUCUGCUUAAGAUUUUAUCCGAACGAGUGUCACUUCAGCCAUGGAAACCGGUCACCACUGAACAGUUCACUCAAGCUUAGUUAAAACGGCAAAUCCCAUUUAUAUUGUCUCACAAUAAAAGGUCUGAUCAAUUGCUGGGUCAGAUCAUCUCCAAGUCCCCGUCAUCUGAGCCGUGACCUCUGCCCUGUCUGCUCUGCCGUGCCCCUUCCCCAGUCCUCCCAGAGGCCCCGCGCUCUGCUGAGCCCUUUGGAGCGACGCAGUGUUCUGUGGGAAGGCCAAAGUCCUGGGCACCUGGCGAGGACCUCAGCCCACAGUGGAAACAUCGGUGGGGAGACAGGGGAAGGGGGACGUUGUUGCCCAAAACUAGAGAGCAGCCCUUCUCCUAUUUCUUGUCUCCACACACACCAAACGGGACAGACGUCAAAGGAACACAUACGCACACAGGUUAAAUUCGAAUACUUACCUUGAGAGGACCUCCUCUCAAGGGACCCCUAGGCCCCAGGAUGUUGUUCUGAGUAGGACAAAGGGGAGAUCUGAGAUUUUAGAUUCUAAAACAGGAGAGGGGAGCCCCCUGGGGUGGGGGAGGGAAGAGAGGGGAGCCCCCUGAGGUGGGGGAGGGAAGAGAGGGGAGCCCCCUGAGGUGGAGGAAGGGUGAACAGAGGAGACACAGAAGCCAGAAGGUAGAAGGACCUGGGUGGUGAGGGGAAGGGCUCCCCACACGAGCUGUCUCAGCUGCUCAGGAAGCCUCACCAGGGAGAAGCACAGAGGAGGGCUGAGACUCACUCUGAGGGGCAGGAGGGGCCCUGAGGCUCCUGGAAAUUGGGCCGACUCGGGCAGGACCAUUUGCUGGGGAGCCCGGAGGAUGUGUCCCCAUGCUUCCAGGGACCGGGAGGUCCACUUGGCAUCCGGAUCACACCUCAACCAAAGGUGGGGUCCUGGUGCCCUUGGCUUGGCAAGGAGGAUAGGACAUCUGCUGCCCCCGCCGGCCCCGCCUGAUUUCUGAUGCACAAGCUCUGGGGCGGAAGUGAGGGCCCUUCCCCAAGAGGGGAAAUCCUGCCCCACCCUGAGACCCCCUGGAUGGCUCUGUUGUUUCCAGAGGGAAAAGGAGGGGACUAGUGGGAAACAGGGGGUUUUCCCAGGCCCUUCCGGGCUUCCUCUUCGAAAACAAGCCGCCAGACCUGCACAGCUGCGGCCGGACCCCGAAUAACCUCGCCACAAAGGCUGGCAGGCCUCCCAGUUAAAAAUAAUCUGCAGCCACUUCAUCAGGACAGAGCCAAGGGGCCCCCACCCAGAGAAGGCUUCCCUGCCCCCUGGUGUCUAUAGGGGCCGUUGGAAGUCAGUGAGCCCAACAUGUAGGGUUCAUAGUGCUAGGUGCCACUCUCAGUUAAACCCUGCAAUAGCCCUGGGGUGGGCACCAUUAUUAUCAUCUAAGUGAUAAUGACAAAAGAGGAGGCAUAUGUGCAGAGAGGGUAAUCAACCAGCCCAAGGUUACACAGCAGGGGAAUGGCCGAACAGGGACUCAGACUUGGAAAGCCCGGCCAAGUCUGUUGUUCCAGAUGUUGCCUUUUCCUCCUUCAGAGCCAGGAAAGCAGUGAAGGGUUGCUUUCCCUCAUCCCCCCGGGCAAGUUGUCUCUCAGUCUUGUUCUCCUUUCCGGAGAAGUCACGGAAGAGGCCGAGGAGGCGGAAGUCUAGACCCAGAGCCGGCACAGUGUCCCUUCUGUUGUACCCUCCUGGUCAAAGCCAUCACAGGCCCGUCCAGACUCAAGGGAAGAGAGACAGACUGCCCGUCUCAAGGCCUCCUGCCCCCUCGUGGAUGAUGCCUCAAGCCCAGGUCUGUGGUGCUGCCUGGGACUGGAUGAACUGGGACCAUCACUCUUCCUCUAGCCUAGAAGCUGCUGCAGCCGCUCGAGGGCAUCAGCUGAGUCUGAUCUGUUCAUGAACGGACGAGCAGGAGAAAUGAAUGGAUGGGACCAGCCAGCCAGCUCCAGAGGAAAUCAGCGACCAAAGGGUCAGCCGGAGGGGACCCUAAGAUGCCCCAAUCCAAGCCCCAGGGAGUGGGGGCAUCGUAGGGUCCCCUCUGGCUGUGACGACCCACAGUCAGACUUGCAAGCCGGGUCCAGAACCUGGGUGACUGCCGAGCUCCUGUCCUCUCCUUAUGCCGCGCUGCCUCCUCAGAAAGGGUUUCUGGGCGGGCACAGGAAGGAGAUGUGUCAUAACAGUGGGUUCUCGGUCCCCAGCUGAGCUCAUAGCUUUGUUAGAGCCAGGCCUGUCUCUCCUGGCACUGGGGCCCACCUGUAGGGACUUGCCCGUUGCUGACCCAGAUUUCCAGGCCACUCUGUCAACACCUCCAGGGCAGGGCAGAGCGUGGCUUCUCAGAGGCCCAAACACAACCCAUGACCAACAUCGCAGAGACCCAAUGCGCCACGGGAGGACAUCCAC